UACGAAGGGGGCUAGCGUUGCUCGGAAUCACUGGGCGUAAAGGGCGCGUAGGCGGACUCUUAAGUCGGGGGUGAAAGUCCAGGGCUCAACCCUGGAAUUGCCUUCGAUACUGAGAGUCUUGAGUUCGGAAGAGGUUGGUGGAACUGCGAGUGUAGAGGUGAAAUUCGUAGAUAUUCGCAAGAACACCAGUGGCGAAGGCGGCCAACUGGUCCGAUACUGACGCUGAGGCGCGAAAGCGUGGGGAGCAAACAGG
rnacentral:rRNA from 1 species